rnacentral:rRNA from 1 species
UGGGGAAUAUUGGGCAAUGGGGCGCAAGCCUGACCCAGCAACGCCGCGUGAAGGAAGAAGGCUUUUCGGGUUGUAAACUUCUUUUAUCAGGGACGAAGACAAUGACGGUACCUGAUGAAUAAGCCACGGCUAACUACGUGCCAGCAGCCGCGGUAAUACGUAGGUGGCAAGCGUUAUCCGGAUUUACUGGGUGUAAAGGGCGUGUAGGCGGGACUGCAAGUCAGAUGUGAAAACUAUGGGCUCAACCCAUAGCCUGCAUUUGAAACUGUAGUUCUUGAGUGUCGGAGAGGCAAUCGGAAUUCCGCGUGUAGCGG